UUGAAAUCCACACAGUUGAAAUCCAAUGUUGAUUUCCACACAGUGGAUGCUGAUCCUAACAGCAAACUAACCUGAGUAGUCUGUCUAGUUAGUCUGUUUUAAGGCUCUAUAAUGUGUCACUUGUAUAACAUAUAAAAUGUGUCUAAAGCGCCCUCUACAGUGGUGAGGACGCGUUGUAUGUGCCCUUUUUUUUUUCUUUCCGCCCAUGCCCUUCAAAAAGUCUGUGCAUGGCACUGGUUCUCACACAAUGAAAU